UCGCCAAGGUAUCAACGAUCCGCACCAUGUCUCGGGAGACAAAAGUGGUACUGAGAAAGCUCCCUUUGUUGUUUUGUGUUUCGUAACAUUUCUCCGCCACAUACGUGCUGUCGUCCCAGUCUCCCUCCCAAUGUUGAACAUAGCUAGAAAAUUUCGAUGUGCGACACCAUUUCAACGGUUCGCAUUUACUGCCGACGGUGGUUUGGUCCAGUUAAGACCACACGAGAAGGGGAUAGUUCGCCCAGUGCGUGCCAGUACUUGAGCGUUAACAGCCUCUAUGAAGGAAAGCAAAAAGAAUAAGAAAACCGAAUAGGUCAUACCGAGGAUCAAAUCCAAUCAGAUUGAGCAUCUUCGACUCCAGACCCACCUGGUCCAACGGGGGGAGUAGUACACUCCAGAGCACAGGCUUCUUAUGUAGCACCGAUCUUGAGCAGUCAAUUGGAGCAUAAUUUCUUCGGAGCCAUUGGAGUUUGAGUAAUCGAGGGGCACUGGGAGCUUGACACAGUUGAUUGGAAGUUAUAUUAAACCCAGAUCAAUUCCUUCCAAUCUACAAGACGCCCAAUUCAAUGUCGAUGGCCGCUGCUCCUGACUAUGGCCUCUGGAAGGGACAGCUCCAGUGAAGUGUUACCUAAAGAGAAUAUAUCACGGACAAACAAAUUAACGAAAAAAAAAAAAAAAAAACUGGAAAACAAACGGGACAGAUAUGAGUAAACCAACUUACUUCUUCUCAAAUCAUAGUCAUCUCAAUGGAUUCAAUAUAUUGUUUGCCAUGGUGAUGUCAAGAUCGCAAUUCCAACUAGCAAAAUAGCACCCUUUCAGCUUUUACACAGCUAAAAAUUUCGACCGCGAGAUCGUUUGCUCGCACAGCGAAUGUGGCCUUGGAAAUGGGAGCAAUAGCCUCCUCUUGCGGGGGGUAAAUCCAAAUUUGUGUCUUCGUUCAUGGUUGACGGUAAGGCUGGUUCCAAGCUGAGGCGCUAGCCCGAUUUAAAAUAGAGCAGGAGUUAAACCCAACCUGCUAAGGACGCUGUUUAGCUUGGAAUAUGUUGAAAUCGACGUCGUGCGAACUGCGACAAGUGGACUCAGUUAGAAGCGACCGGUGACAGAGUCACUAGUGAAAUGAUAUUGUUUGCCUUGCUUCAACGGAAGAGCAUUGUUCGUGUUUGCGAGCCAAACUUAUUAAAGAAUAUGGAUGAUUGCUCCUGCAUAUUUGUAUUCCAGCUCAUUUAAAUUCCUUUUGAUCUUUCUCUUGUCAUUUGCCUGGAAGAUAUAAAGAGCAUGAGCGGGGAGUGUGAUUACUCGUCAAUUUCUUGCUUUAGGUGGCUUCAUCAAGUUGACUUCGGAUAUUAGCAUAUGUGGCUAAUUCCUGGAAUUUUCACUCCUGUAAGGCUGCAGGUGGAGCAGGAACUUCCCGAAUCGGUCAAUCGUCUUGGGAUACUUUAGCCAACCCCGUAUCCAACUUAAACGGAACAUAUCCCAUAUUACAGGCUGAACCGCCGUAGCAAUGACCCAAUGACGAACGGUGACACUCGUGGCUGUUGAAAUGCAAAGCCUCUGCCGCCUUGCUUAUCCAUGGAGGACUAUCCUCUCAAACCGACGAGCUAUGGUUACUAGAAAGCGAGAACACACGGUGGCCAUUGCCAUAAAAAAAUAGAGACAACUUCAGAGGCAUGUUAAAUACCGUAACAAC
rnacentral:sRNA from 1 species